ACGCUGGCGGCGUGCUUAACACAUGCAAGUCGAACGAAAAUACCAAGCUUGCUUGGUUGAUUAGUGGCGAACGGGUGAGUAACACGUGAGUAACCUGCCCCUUACUUUCCUGGAUAACUGCUCGAAAGGGUAGCUAAUACGGGAUAUUCUGACCAUCCUGCAUGGGUUGGUUUGGAAAGGUUGUUUUUCUGGUAAGGGAUGGGCUCGCGGCCUAUCAGCUUGUUGGUGGGGUGAUGGCCUACCAAGGCUUUGACGGGUAGCCGGCCUGAGAGGGUGGACGGUCACACUGGGACUGAGAUACGGCCCAGACUCCUACGGGAGGCAGCAGUGGGGAAUAUUGCACAAUGGGCGCAAGCCUGAUGCAGCGACGCCGCGUGAGGGAUGAAGGCCUUCGGGUUGUAAACCUCUUUCGUCAGGGAACAAGGCACUGCUUUGGUGGUGUUGAGGGUACCUGGAUAAGAAGCGCCGGCUAACUACGUGCCAGCAGCCGCGGUAAUACGUAGGGCGCAAGCGUUGUCCGGAAUUAUUGGGCGUAAAGAGCUCGUAGGCGGCUGGUCGCGUCUGUCGUGAAAACUUCCGGCUCAACCGGGGGCUUGCGGUGGGUACGGGCCGGCUAGAGUGCGGUAGGGGUAACUGGAACUCCUGGUGUAGCGGUGGAAUGCGCAGAUAUCAGGAAGAACACCGAUGGCGAAGGCAGGUUACUGGGCCGUUACUGACGCUGAGGAGCGAAAGCGUGGGGAGCGAACAGGAUUAGAUACCCUGGUAGUCCACGCCGUAAACGUUGGGCACUAGGUGUGAGGCUCCUUUCCGGGGGUUUUGCGCCGUAGCUAACGCAUUAAGAGCCCCGCCUGGGGAGUACGGCCGCAAGGCUAAAACUCAAAGGAAUUGACGGGGGCCCGCA
rnacentral:rRNA from 1 species